UAAGAAUCUGAUAAAUAGGUAAUGUAAUCCCACCUAAGAAAAUAAAUACUCGGACAUCCUAACACCCGGUCCAUCAUCAAGACUCGCCCUCCCAUAGAUAAAGUGAGUUUCAACACAAAGUUACUACUAUCAGGCAUAGCUCAACGUAUCCCCACUACGCCUGUAAUCGCGGGAUCACCUACCUAUCAGUUGGUGAUAUCACUUAUCAAGCAACCGGCCACAUCAUCGCCGAAUUAUUAAAAAAUAUUAUAU
rnacentral:lncRNA from 1 species